GGGUUGUGAGGUUAAGCGACUAAGCGUACACGGUGGAUGCCCUGGCAGUCAGAGGCGAUGAAGGACGUGCUAAUCUGCGAUAAGCGUCGGUAAGGUGAUAUGAACCGUUAUAACCGGCGAUUUCCGAAUGGGGAAACCCAGUGUGAUUCGUCACACUAUCAUUAACUGAAUCCAUAGGUUAAUGAGGCGAACCGGGGGAACUGAAACAUCUAAGUACCCCGAGGAAAAGAAAUCAACCGAGAUUCCCCCAGUAGCGGCGAGCGAACGGGGAGCAGCCCAGAGCCUGAAUCAGUGUGUGUGUUAGUGGAAGCGUCUGGAAAGGCGUGCGAUACAGGGUGACAGCCCCGUACACAAAAAUGCACAUGCUGUGAGCUCGAUGAGUAGGGCGGGACACGUGGUAUCCUGUCUGAAUAUGGGGGGACCAUCCUCCAAGGCUAAAUACUCCUGACUGACCGAUAGUGAACCAGUACCGUGAGGGAAAGGCGAAAAGAACCCCGGCGAGGGGAGUGAAAAAGAACCUGAAACCGUGUACGUACAAGCAGUGGGAGCCUCUUUUAUGGGGUGACUGCGUACCUUUUGUAUAAUGGGUCAGCGACUUAUAUUCUGUAGCAAGGUUAACCGAAUAGGGGAGCCGAAGGGAAACCGAGUCUUAACUGGGCGUUAAGUUGCAGGGUAUAGACCCGAAACCCGGUGAUCUAGCCAUGGGCAGGUUGAAGGUUGGGUAACACUAACUGGAGGACCGAACCGACUAAUGUUGAAAAAUUAGCGGAUGACUUGUGGCUGGGGGUGAAAGGCCAAUCAAACCGGGAGAUAGCUGGUUCUCCCCGAAAGCUAUUUAGGUAGCGCCUCGUGAAUUCAUCUCCGGGGGUAGAGCACUGUUUCGGCAAGGGGGUCAUCCCGACUUACCAACCCGAUGCAAACUGCGAAUACCGGAGAAUGUUAUCACGGGAGACACACGGCGGGUGCUAACGUCCGUCGUGAAGAGGGAAACAACCCAGACCGCCAGCUAAGGUCCCAAAGUCAUGGUUAAGUGGGAAACGAUGUGGGAAGGCCCAGACAGCCAGGAUGUUGGCUUAGAAGCAGCCAUCAUUUAAAGAAAGCGUAAUAGCUCACUGGUCGAGUCGGCCUGCGCGGAAGAUGUAACGGGGCUAAACCAUGCACCGAAGCUGCGGCAGCGACACUAUGUGUUGUUGGGUAGGGGAGCGUUCUGUAAGCCUGUGAAGGUGUGCUGUGAGGCAUGCUGGAGGUAUCAGAAGUGCGAAUGCUGACAUAAGUAACGAUAAAGCGGGUGAAAAGCCCGCUCGCCGGAAGACCAAGGGUUCCUGUCCAACGUUAAUCGGGGCAGGGUGAGUCGACCCCUAAGGCGAGGCCGAAAGGCGUAGUCGAUGGGAAACAGGUUAAUAUUCCUGUACUUGGUGUUACUGCGAAGGGGGGACGGAGAAGGCUAUGUUGGCCGGGCGACGGUUGUCCCGGUUUAAGCGUGUAGGCUGGUUUUCCAGGCAAAUCCGGAAAAUCAAGGCUGAGGCGUGAUGACGAGGCACUACGGUGCUGAAGCAACAAAUGCCCUGCUUCCAGGAAAAGCCUCUAAGCAUCAGGUAACAUCAAAUCGUACCCCAAACCGACACAGGUGGUCAGGUAGAGAAUACCAAGGCGCUUGAGAGAACUCGGGUGAAGGAACUAGGCAAAAUGGUGCCGUAACUUCGGGAGAAGGCACGCUGAUAUGUAGGUGAAGUCCCUCGCGGAUGGAGCUGAAAUCAGUCGAAGAUACCAGCUGGCUGCAACUGUUUAUUAAAAACACAGCACUGUGCAAACACGAAAGUGGACGUAUACGGUGUGACGCCUGCCCGGUGCCGGAAGGUUAAUUGAUGGGGUCAGCGCAAGCGAAGCUCUUGAUCGAAGCCCCGGUAAACGGCGGCCGUAACUAUAACGGUCCUAAGGUAGCGAAAUUCCUUGUCGGGUAAGUUCCGACCUGCACGAAUGGCGUAAUGAUGGCCAGGCUGUCUCCACCCGAGACUCAGUGAAAUUGAACUCGCUGUGAAGAUGCAGUGUACCCGCGGCAAGACGGAAAGACCCCGUGAACCUUUACUAUAGCUUGACACUGAACAUUGAGCCUUGAUGUGUAGGAUAGGUGGGAGGCUUUGAAGUGUGGACGCCAGUCUGCAUGGAGCCGACCUUGAAAUACCACCCUUUAAUGUUUGAUGUUCUAACGUUGACCCGUGAUCCGGGUUGCGGACAGUGUCUGGUGGGUAGUUUGACUGGGGCGGUCUCCUCCUAAAGAGUAACGGAGGAGCACGAAGGUUGGCUAAUCCUGGUCGGACAUCAGGAGGUUAGUGCAAUGGCAUAAGCCAGCUUGACUGCGAGCGUGACGGCGCGAGCAGGUGCGAAAGCAGGUCAUAGUGAUCCGGUGGUUCUGAAUGGAAGGGCCAUCGCUCAACGGAUAAAAGGUACUCCGGGGAUAACAGGCUGAUACCGCCCAAGAGUUCAUAUCGACGGCGGUGUUUGGCACCUCGAUGUCGGCUCAUCACAUCCUGGGGCUGAAGUAGGUCCCAAGGGUAUGGCUGUUCGCCAUUUAAAGUGGUACGCGAGCUGGGUUUAGAACGUCGUGAGACAGUUCGGUCCCUAUCUGCCGUGGGCGCUGGAGAACUGAGGGGGGCUGCUCCUAGUACGAGAGGACCGGAGUGGACGCAUCACUGGUGUUCGGGUUGUCAUGCCAAUGGCACUGCCCGGUAGCUAAAUGCGGAAGAGAUAAGUGCUGAAAGCAUCUAAGCACGAAACUUGCCCCGAGAUGAGUUCUCCCUGACUCCUUGAGAGUCCUGAAGGAACGUUGAAGACGACGACGUUGAUAGGCCGGGUGUGUAAGCGCAGCGAUGCGUUGAGCUAACCGGUACUAAUGAACCGUGAGGCUUAACCUUACAACGCCGAAGCUGUU
rnacentral:rRNA from 1 species